AGCUGGGCAAACUCAUGUGUCCUGUCAGAGGAAAUUCCCUCACCCCCACAGUUACUUACAGGCAUUAUGGUCCAUGCCUUAGUUCACCUUAGAACACCUGGAUUAUCCUCAUCUGGGACUCACACAGGACCAGCAAGGAAAUAACUGAAAAACGAUUACUUAACGGAGAAUUUACAAUUUGGUACAGCCAGUCCAUGAUGCUUCACUGUUUACCAGCAGCAUUCAGGGAAUGAAAGCUAAGGAGGAUGACAAAAUAAAUAAACAAACAAAUUCUACCCUUCCAUUGAGAUGUUUUCCUGGCUGUUGCUUGUGCAGAGGAAAGGAGAUCAGAAAAAGGGAGGAGAAGCAAGAUAAAGGAGGGGAAGACUGUGGAGAGGAAGAACAUUUAGCUCUAAUUUGUAGGACUUACAGAAUGACCUUAUGACAAAAUUUCAAAUGUAAGGCCAAAUUUGUUACUGGUGCUGCUUCAUCAGCUUCUCUGAAGUGCUGCCAGAAAGGGCUUUAGCCUAGCGUUACAUAGCAGGAAAGUGGGAAGCUUGUUCUUCCUCAGAGAAACAUGUGAAAGUAAAGGCUUACCCAGGAGCCAUAAAUCCAGUUUUCAUAACAGAUAAAAGAUAAAAUGCCACAUGAGCAGCCCUGCUCUGCCUGUGUGUGCAGACCCAUGGCUGUUCCCCUGCAGCCUGAGCACCCCUGGCUUGGCAAACUGCAGGGAUGUGACCGAGCCCUGCUCACAGCUGGGUCAGACAGGGCUUAGCUCGCAGCUGGCAGUGCCCCACAGCACACAGAGGAGCUGGCUCUCCCCACUGCCCUGUGCCUCCGGGGCCAGCAGCAACCCCAUUCUCUGCCUCUCCAGCCAGCCUGCUCAAAGGUCAGCACAGAUCCCAGCAAGGACAUUCCCUCCAUCUGUGCCUCUGUGGGUGUGGGUGGGAUGCACUGACAACUGGCAGCUGACAAACACAUUCAGCAAUAACCUUUGCUGCAAACAGCCACUCUUCUUGCCAUUGUGCUCUAUGUGCUCUUUUAAAAGCCUUGGAUUUAAAGCUGUUUGUUAAGAAGCAGUGGCAAACCAUAGAACCUGACAAGGGGCAGACAUGCUAGAAAAAUGGCACUACAUUUUCUAAGUGUUGCAAAAUUCAAAAACCUUUGGCCACUACUAACUGAAAAAAACCUCCCAUAUUCCUAAAGAAAUAUGGAGUUAAUUAGAUAACAAUUUCAGUUUUACAGGAUUUGGAAUGAAUUUUAAAAAACCCCAAACCUGUACAAAGACACAGUUGUUUAGGACUUUCUUGACUUUAAAGAGCAAAGGCAUCCCCUCCCUGUUGGAUUUUGUAGGACUUUACUGAAAGGUUGCUAAGAUAAUAGUAGCAGUGAAUUACUGUAAAGUCAAAAUUGUGUUGUUCACAUGUCUGCCUCAGGCCCUGCGGUUUGCUUCACUUGUUCCAGCUUCCGAAUAAAGACUGUUACUUGCAAAAAGUGCUAUUAUUAACCACAUUUCUCCCUGGUGCAAUGACUUCUGCAAUAAGAAGUGACCCCUUGGCAUAUGACCUGUACAAAUGUACAUAAGCUUUAUCUAUAAACUUCCAAAGCCUUUUUUAUGAAGUUUUCAUUAAACUAGAUAACAACAAAAGAAACCAUCACCAGCGGAAUAAGCAAACUCUUCAUCUAGUGCCAACAGAAUUAUUGCCAGGUCUUUUUAUUGAAAAAAAGAAUGAGAUUCUUUGUUGAAAUACAAACAAGAUUGCUUCUUAGAUGUAGGCUGGCAAGUGGCAAAUUAAGGAGUUCAAACCAAACCCUAUUUGUGUAAUAGCAAACCUCAGAAGGAUUCUGCCU